UUUCCUCCCAAGUUAAAUCUCUUUAAAGAGUUUCUCUCUUAGACUGAAAACUCCUUUCAGUCCAUAGGAGCCUCCACUGUGCUUGCUGACUGUGGGAUUGCCUAGCCAGGCUGACAACCAUGUUAAGAACUGCUCCUGAAGAAGGCUGUUCUCUCAGCCGUGAGGUCCUUGGUCCUCAGAACCUGAAAUGAGUUGGGAGUAUGGCUCUGAACAUCAGCCAACAUCACUCCCCACCGACACUUUAAUUCCAGUCAGUCAAAGUUCCUGAUGCAGUGUGAACCCUCAGUUACGUG